GACGAACGCUGGCGGCGUGCUUAACACAUGCAAGUCGAACGGAAAGGCCCUGCUUUUGUGGGUUGCUCGAGUGGCGAACGGGUGAGUAACACGUGAGUAACCUGCCCUUGACUUUGGGAUAACUUCAGGAAACUGGGGCUAAUACCGGAUAGGAGCUCCUGCUGCAUGGUGGGGGUUGGAAAGUUUCGGCGGUUGUGGAUGGACUCGCGGCUUAUCAGCUUGUUGGUGGGGUAGUGGCUUACCAAGGCUUUGACGGGUAGCCGGCCUGAGAGGGUGAACGGCCACAUUGCGACUGAGAUACGGCGCAGACUCCUACGGGAGGCAGCAGGGGGGAAUAUGGCACAAUGGGCGGAAGCCUGAUGCAGCAACGCUGCGUGCGGGAUGCCGGCCUACGGGUUGUAAACCGCUUUCGCCGGUGACGAAGCGUGCGUGACGGUAAUGGGUCAAGAAGCACCGGCUAACUACGUG
rnacentral:rRNA from 1 species